GGACAAGGAGAGGUAGGUGGGAGUUAACUCAGCAAAGCCAGGAAGACAUGUCUGCCCAGGCAGGGAGACCAACAUGCUUGACGCUUCAUCAUAACUCCCACAGGCCCUUCAUUCCACAGUUGAAAUUCUUCUGGGAAAUCUAUUUGACUCUGCAUUUCACACGUCAAAAUCAUUUUCUUCCUUCCUGGUUGGGAAACAGCAAUUAAGGUUCUUCAGUUUAGCAAAAGUUACAAUAUGUCGAUGUCUUGCACAGCCUGUUGCUAAAUUCCCCCAAGACCUUGAGGUGCACUCCAUUCAGACAACUUCUCUUCCCUCUUAGGGUACUUUGCACAGGUUGGGCAACAGAAAAUGACUAAAAGAAAUACAAUAUUUAUUGGAUAGCAUAAAACCUAGUCUUUUUUUUCCAAUAAACUGACAGUUUUCUACACUCUUGCCUAACUCUUCCAAAUUUUCUUAACCAUCCUUCCCCUCCCGUAUGAUCAAUAGUUUAACUCAGUGUUAUGUUUUAUAUAUUUAAUGCUGCAAAAGUCAUUCAGAGGAUCCAAGACUCACACAGACGUUAGUCUGGAAAGAGCUUGGCAUUUCAAAAUCUCAGUUUAUCAGGUAAUAAUUGUUUUAUGUGUUUUUAACAAAAAUCUUUUUAAAAAGGCUUUCGGACCAACAAAACUAUAAUUUCACUGACAGUUACCUUUUGAUCAAUCU
rnacentral:lncRNA from 1 species